GAUGAACGCUAGCGGCAGGCUUAACACAUGCAAGUCGAGGGGUAGGAGAAGCUUGCUUUUCUGAGACCGGCGCACGGGUGCGUAACGCGUAUGCAAUCUACCUUUCACAGAGGGAUAGCCCAGAGAAAUUUGGAUUAAUACCUCAUAGUAUACUUGAAUGGCAUCAUUUAAUUAUUAAAGAUUUAUCGGUGAAAGAUGAGCAUGCGUCCCAUUAGCUAGUUGGUAUGGUAACGGCAUACCAAGGCAACGAUGGGUAGGGGUCCUGAGAGGGAGAUCCCCCACACUGGUACUGAGACACGGACCAGACUCCUACGGGAGGCAGCAGUGAGGAAUAUUGGACAAUGGGCGCAAGCCUGAUCCAGCCAUGCCGCGUGCAGGAUGACGGUCCUAUGGAUUGUAAACUGCUUUUAUACAGGAAGAAACACCUCUACGUGUAGAGACUUGACGGUACUGUAAGAAUAAGGAUCGGCUAACUCCGUGCCAGCAGCCGCGGUAAUACGGAGGAUCCAAGCGUUAUCCGGAAUCAUUGGGUUUAAAGGGUCCGUAGGCGGUCAGGUAAGUCAGUGGUGAAAGCCCAUCGCUCAACGGUGGAACGGCCAUUGAUACUGUCUGACUUGAAUUAUUAGGAAGUAACUAGAAUAUGUAGUGUAGCGGUGAAAUGCUUAGAGAUUACAUGGAAUACCAAUUGCGAAGGCAGGUUACUACUAAUUGAUUGACGCUGAUGGACGAAAGCGUGGGUAGCGAACAGGAUUAGAUACCCUGGUAGUCCACGCCGUAAACGAUGGAUACUAGCUGUUGGGAGCAAUCUCAGUGGCUAAGCGAAAGUGAUAAGUAUCCCACCUGGGGAGUACGAACGCAAGUUUGAAACUCAAAGGAAUUGACGGGGGCCCGCACAAGCGGUGGAGCAUGUGGUUUAAUUCGAUGAUACGCGAGGAACCUUACCAAGGCUUAAAUGUAGAUUGACCGGUUGGAAACAG
rnacentral:rRNA from 1 species